rnacentral:rRNA from 1 species
GACGGAGGGUGCUAGCGUUGUUCGGAAUCACUGGGCGUAAAGAGCGCGUAGGCGGCUUGCCAAGUUGGGUGUGAAAUCCCGGAGCUCAACUCCGGAACUGCCUUCAAAACUGGUAGGCUCGAGUCCGGAAGAGGGGCGUGGAAUUCCCGGUGUAGAGGUGAAAUUCGUAGAUAUUGGGAGGAACACCGGUGGCGAAGGCGGCGCUCUGGUCCGAUACUGACGCUGAUGCGCGAAAGCGUGGGGAGCAAACAUG